CUUUUUUAAAUCUAUAAAUGUUGCAAACGUUUUCGGACAGUUCCUCACAAUUGCAUUUAGUGUGGAAAUAUGGUCUUCACAUGAACGAUGCGCACGGAACCGAUUCUGUUCGUCUGCUAACAUGUCGUUUGUUUCUAAAUAAGCAGAUACUCGGCUGUUUAUAAACGCACUAUAUAAUUUUGAGAUACAAGAGAGCAAUCUUAUUCCACGAUAGUUAAGCGGCAUUCGUUCAUCGGAUGUUUUGUCUUUAAGAAUUGGACAAAUUAUUGCCUGUCGCCAGAUUGAUGGAAUAAUACUAGUUUCAAAUAUAAGUUGAAACAGAGAAUGAAGCACGCUCAUCACAGAUUCAUAUUUCAAGACUUCAUACGGUAUGCUAUCGAUUCCACAAGCCUUGCCAUUUUUUGCCCCAAGUAUUAAACGCCUGAUUUCA
rnacentral:lncRNA from 1 species